CUGUCGAAUAGUUGUGUUCGAAAUGUAGAAGCGGCAUAAAUGGGAAGAAUUUCCCCACUUACUAGCUAUAUUAACUAUAUAUCCAUAUCAUGAAGGCAUGCAUACUGUGUAAUACAAUAUUUUAUGCUUCAGCAUAUUCAUGCACGCAUGAAUGAUGCAUCAUGCAUCAUUCAUGCGUGCAUGAAUAUGCUGAAGCAUAAAAUAUUGUAUUACACACUAACUAUAUGGGUAUACUUAUUCUUGCGCUGUAUAAUUGUUAACGUAAACCAUAAAUAUUAUACGUAUUCAAGUGUAUACGGUACUUUCGAGCUUGCAUGUCACACGGUGUAUCGCCAGCAUGUGCCUGAAGCGGUUGAGUAUAAUUCACGCUGUGCGAAUUCAAAGCCCGUCAAAUGUAAAUUAUUUGUUAAUUAUUAUUUGUAUUUGAGAUACUUGUAUUUAAUUUCAAGUGCGUAUUAGAAUUCGCGCAGACCUUAGGUUGGCGCAAAAAUAAAAUUGAGCGGGAAUUAGUCUGCGCGAAAAGUUGCUGUCAAGCAAACAUCCUGAUGCGCGAGCAUUUUAUCCGUACGGAAUGCUAGAAACGUUUCCAUUUUACUAAAUGCAUUUAUGAUGUGACAUAUACGCCCCCUGGCUUCAUAGGCAACAGAAAAAGCGUGUAAAACCUGUAGUAAAACUAUUUUUGAUUUAUGGUGCCUACAUUUGAUAGCUGAAAGCCAGGGGCGGAUCUAGGAUUUUUCGUACCUCAGUCAAAAAUUUUUGGCGGACGGGGGCGUUGUCAGCGCGGGGCGUUGUCAGCGCUGGGCGUGGUCUCGACUGGGCGUGAAAAACGUAUUUAG